AACGAACGCUGGCGGCAUGCCUAACACAUGCAAGUCGAACGAGACCUUCGGGUCUAGUGGCGCACGGGUGCGUAACGCGAGGGAAUCUGCCCAAAGGUACGGAAUAACUCCUCGAAAGGGGUGCUAAUACCGUAUGAUGUCGCAAGACCAAAGAUUUAUCGCCUUUGGAUGAGCCCGCGUAAGAUUAGCUAGUUGGUGGGGUAAAGGCCUACCAAGGCGACGAUCUUUAGCUGGUCUGAGAGGAUGAUCAGCCACACUGGGACUGAGACACGGCCCAGACUCCUACGGGAGGCAGCAGUGGGGAAUAUUGGACAAUGGGCGAAAGCCUGAUCCAGCAAUGCCGCGUGAGUGAUGAAGGCCUUAGGGUUGUAAAGCUCUUUUAC
rnacentral:rRNA from 1 species